AAGUCCUGGGAUGAGCUCACACAGUCCAUGGAUGUGGGACUCGGGGGCCAGCUAGGAGUCCAGCAGCUGCUGAGUGAAAUUGACAUUUAUUACUGAGACAAGAUGGAUGAAGUAAUCUCUUUUGCUGGACCAACUUCUGAUGGUGAGAGAGACAAGCUUUCAUUCCUGCUAAUUCAGAACAAAACCACAUUUUGAAAUAACAAAAUUUCCCGUGAACCGGAAAUCCCACGUUUCAGCCAGCUCGAACAAAGAUGCAAGAAUCUUACUAGCUAGAGAUGGAGAAGACCAAUAAGAUUCCAUUCAGCCCAGUUCCCAGAGGGCCAGUGCAGAGAGAGGCCUGAACGUGCGGUCAAGUGCACCCGAGAGGUUUGGAAACUAGAAGUCAAACAAAAGACCCCAAAUGUACAAUUAUUUUGUCUCAGCUGCCAUGUCAGUCCUUGGUGCUCCCAUCCCUCCCUGAGCUGGCUGCAAAAUGAAGAUAAGCGCUGGACCGGGAGCCAUAUAAUAAUAAUACUUCGUGCUAGAGUGGGUCAGAAAUGGGUGUCCCUCCCGCACCCCCAUGACAGGAAAAUUUAGACUUUUUGUUGAAACAUCAAAAACCGCAAAAGAGAAUGUGGCUGAAAACUGCUAAAAAAAAAAUGAGGGGUAGAAAUGGGGUUUUGUGUUCAUUUUUCCAACCAACUAAAUAAAUAAAUCCACAUUUUUUUCUGUAGAGACUUCCAUUUAGUCAAAAACCCAAUUUCCCAUCCAAAGACGUUCCAGCUGAAAACUUUCACCCACCCCUGCACAGCUCUUACAAAUCACCUUUUAUCCCUGGAUCUUGGAGUGCUGACUCUGAGAAUUAGUUUGCCCAGUCCAGUGCAUCCUAUGCAUCUUCAUUCCUAUGCUGUUCAAUCCAUGAGCAAAUCUGUUUAUUUGUGAUUAUAUUUGCAUUCCAGUAGGAGUUAGAGGCACCAGCCUCACGUACUAGGUGUUGCACACAGGUAAUCCCUCCUCUGCUUGUUUUUUCUGCUCUCUGUUAAUGUCCGUCUUCAUUUGACCCUGCAAGUCAGUGGAAGUGAAUAAGCCAGAGGAUUGACUACAUGGUGUCAGUUUACUCAUGGAUAAAACUGAACUGAGGCUCUGAACUGAACCUGCGUUCUAAUCCUAGCUCUGACUUUAGGAAAGUCACUUCACCUCCCUGGUCCUCAGUUUCCUCAUCUUUAAAAUCAGGUAAUGAUUCUGCUCUCCUUUGUAAAGUGCUUUGAGAUCUAUGGGUGUGGAGAAAGUAAAUAAGGAAGUGUUAUUUACUCCUUCUCAUAACGCAAGAACUAGGUGUCAACCAAUGAAAUUAAUAAACAGCAGGUUUAAAACAAACCAAAGGAAGUAUUUCUUCACACAACGCACAGUCAACCUGUGGAACUCCUUGCCAGAGGAUGUUGUGAAGGCCAAGUUUCAAAAAAGAACUAGAUGAAGGUCCUGGAGAAUAGGUCCAUCAAUGGCCAUUAGCCAGGAUGGGCAGGGGAUGGUGUCCCCAGCCUCUGUAAGCUGGGAAUGGGUAACAGGAGAUGGAUCACUUGAUGAUUACCUGUUCUGUUCACUCCCUCUGAAGCAUCUGGCACUGGCCACUGUUGGAAGACAGGACACUGGGCUAUAUGGACCUUUGGUCUGGCACAGUAUGGCCAUUCUAAUGUUCUAUCUAAGAGCUAGGUAUUACUACUAUUUCCUUGUGCUUCUCUGACUCUCUCUCUCUCUCUCUCUCUGCAUCCACCUGUUAUCUCUUGUCCUACUUAGAGUUUAAGCUCUUUGGGGCAGACGUGGU